rnacentral:rRNA from 1 species
UGCAAGUCGAACGAACUCUGGUAUUGAUUGGUGCUUGCAUCAUGAUUUACAUUUGAGUGAGUGGCGAACUGGUGAGUAACACGUGGGAAACCUGCCCAGAAGCGGGGGAUAACACCUGGAAACAGAUGCUAAUACCGCAUAACAACUUGGACCGCAUGGUCCGAGCUUGAAAGAUGGCUUCGGCUAUCACUUUUGGAUGGUCCCGCGGCGUAUUAGCUAGAUGGUGGGGUAACGGCUCACCAUGGCAAUGAUACGUAGCCGACCUGAGAGGGUAAUCGGCCACAUUGGGACUGAGACACGGCCCAAACUCCUACGGGAGGCAGCAGUAGGGAAUCUUCCACAAUGGACGAAAGUCUGAUGGAGCAACGCCGCGUGAGUGAAGAAGGGUUUCGGCUCGUAAAACUCUGUUGUUAAAGAAGAACAUAUCUGAGAGUAACUGUUCAGGUAUUGACGGUAUUUAMCCAGAAAGCCACGGCUAACUACGUGCCAGCAGCCGCGGUAAUACGUAGGUGGCAAGCGUUGUCCGGAUUUAUUGGGCGUAAAGCGAGCGCAGGCGGUUUUUUAAGUCUGAUGUGAAAGCCUUCGGCUCAACCGAAGAAGUGCAUCGGAAACUGGGAAACUUGAGUGCAGAAGAGGACAGUGGAACUCCAUGUGUAGCGGUGAAAUGCGUAGAUAUAUGGAAGAACACCAGUGGCGAAGGCGGCUGUCUGGUCUGUAACUGACGCUGAGGCUCGAAAGUAUGGGUAGCAAACAGGAUUAGAUACCCUGGUAGUCCAUACCGUAAACGAUGAAUGCUAAGUGUUGGAGGGUUUCCGCCCUUCAGUGCUGCAGCUAACGCAUUAAGCAUUCCGCCUGGGGAGUACGGCCGCAAGGCUGAAACUCAAAGGAAUUGACGGGGGCCCGCACAAGCGGUGGAGCAUGUGGUUUAAUUCGAAGCUACGCGAAGAACCUUACCAGGUCUUGACAUACUAUGCAAAUCUAAGAGAUUAGACGUUCCCUUCGGGGACAUGGAUACAGGUGGUGCAUGGUUGUCGUCAGCUCGUGUCGUGAGAUGUUGGGUUAAGUCCCGCAACGAGCGCAACCCUUAUUAUCAGUUGCCAGCAUUAAGUUGGGCACUCUGGUGAGACUGCCGGUGACAAACCGGAGGAAGGUGGGGAUGACGUCAAAUCAUCAUGCCCCUUAUGACCUGGGCUACACACGUGCUACAAUGGAUGGUACAACGAGUUGCGAACUCGCGAGAGUAAGCUAAUCUCUUAAAGCCAUUCUCAGUUCGGAUUGUAGGCUGCAACUCGCCUACAUGAAGUCGGAAUCGCUAGUAAUCGCGGAUCAGCAUGCCGCGGUGAAUACGUUCCCGGGCCUUGUACACACCGCCCGUCACACCAUGAGAGUUUGUAACACCCAAAGUCGGUGGGGUAACCUUUUAGGAACCAGCCGUCGU